rnacentral:rRNA from 1 species
GCAAUAAAUCACAAUGCGGAACAUCUGUUUUGCAAUUGGAUUGAGAACAACGCACAACACUUAUCGAUAAACAAUUGGAGGGCAAGUCUGGUGCCAGCAGCCGCGGUAAUUCCAGCUCCAAUAGCGUAUAUUAACGUUGUUGCAGUUAAAAAGCUCGUAGUUGAAGUGAAGUGUGGAAGUUUGGCAUUUUCGUUUGAAUUUGCUUCUCUUCUAUACUCUUUCCAAAUAGUUUGCAUGGGUAUUCAUUUAUCUGUGUAUUGCAUUUGGUCAUUUACUGUGAGAAAAUUAGAGUGUUCAAAGCAUACGUUUGUUUGAAUACAUUAGCAUGGAAUAAUUCGAAAAGGCUUUCAUGUUCGAUUUGAUUGGUUUGUUCGUGAAGGCAAGAUUAAAAGGGACAGUUGGGGGUAUUCAUAUUCAAUAGUCAGAGGUGAAAUUCUCGGAUUUAUGGAAGAUGAACAAGG